rnacentral:rRNA from 1 species
CGUGGAUAAGACAUGCAAGUGGAACGCUGAUUUCAAGGUAGCAAUAUUUUGGAGUAGGAGUGGCGCAAGGGUGCGUAACACGUGGGUAAUUUGCCGUGAAGUCUGGGAUAACUUGCUGAAAGGCGAGCUAAUACCGGAUGUGAAUUUUUGAGGGCAUCUUUGGAAAUUCAAAGUUGGGGACCGCAAGGCCUGACGCUUUACGAUAAGCCCGCGGCCUAUCAGCUAGUUGGUGAGGUAACGGCUCACCAAGGCUAAGACGGGUAGCUGGUCUGAGAGGACGACCAGUCACACUGGAACUGAGACACGGUCCAGACACCUACGGGUGGCAGCAGUCGAGAAUUUUUCUCAAUGGGCGAAAGCCUGAAGGAGCGACGCCGCGUGGGGGAUGAAUGGCUUCGGCCCGUAAACGCCUGUCAUUUGUGAACAAAUUGCUUCACCUAACAC